GUGAACGCUGGCGGUAGGCCUAACCCAUGCCAGUCGCACGGCAGCACAGUAAGAGCUUGCUCUUCCGGGUGGCGAGUGGCGGACGGGUGAGGAAUACAUCGGAAUCUACUUUUUCGUGGGGGAUAACGUAGGGAAACUUACGCUAAUACCGCAUACGACCUACGGGUGAAAGCAGGGGAUCUUCGGACCUUGCGCGAUUGAAUGAGCCGAUGUCGGAUUAGCUAGUUGGCGGGGUAAAGGCCCACCAAGGCGACGAUCCGUAGCUGGUCUGAGAGGAUGAUCAGCCACACUGGAACUGAGACACGGUCCAGACUCCUACGGGAGGCAGCAGUGGGGAAUAUUGGACAAUGGGCGCAAGCCUGAUCCAGCCAUACCGCGUGGGUGAAGAAGGCCUUCGGGUUGUAAAGCCCUUUUGUUGGGAAAGAAAAGCAGCAGGUUAAUACCCCGCUGUUCUGACGGUACCCAAAGAAUAAGCACCGGCUAACUUCGUG
rnacentral:rRNA from 1 species